rnacentral:tRNA from 1 species
AGCCGAUUAGCUCAGCGGAUCCAGAGCGGCGGUCUUCUAAACCGCAGGUCGUUGGUUCAAAUCCAACAUCGGCUG